rnacentral:rRNA from 1 species
GUGGGGAAUCUUCCGCAAUGGACGAAAGUCUGACGGAGCGACGCCGCGUGAGUGAAGAAGGCCUUCGGGUCGUAAAGCUCUGUCAUCAGGGACGAACGGCCGGUGGAGUGGAAAGCCACCGGAUUGACGGUACCUGAGAAGGAAGCCACGGCUAACUACGUGCCAGCAGCCGCGGUAAUACGUAGGUGGCAAGCGUUGUCCGGAAUUAUUGGGCGUAAAGCGCGCGCAGGUGGGAUCUUAAGUCCAUUUUUAAAGUUCGGAGCUCAACUCCGUGAUGGGAUGGAAACUGGGAUUCUUGAGUACCGGAGAGGAAAGCGGAAUUCCCCGUGUAGCGGUGAAAUGCGUAGGUAUUAGGAGGAACACCAGUGGCGAAGGCGGCUUACUGGACUGUAACUGACGUUGAGGCUCGAAAGCGUGGGGAGCAAACAGGAUUAGAAACCCGUGUAGUCC